UGCCUGGCCCAUAAUUCAAUUUUAAUUACUUUUGUGUAUAUGACUGGAGGUAGGGAAUCCAACAUCAUGUUUUGCAUGUGGAUAUCCAGUUUUCCCAGCACUGUUUAUUGCUGAUUUUCAAAACUACUUAGGACCUGCUGGAGAAGAGAAUGGGAAUAGGACAAGUUGAAAUGCUACAAAACUCAUGCUCUUACAGAGAUUCAGCUGCUUUUCUUGAAUAAACACUCCUUGUAUUGUUGCAAGCCUUUGAUUCACUUCCAGAGUUCUGAAAAAGCUUAUUUGGAUAAUUUUUGCUAAAGUUUUUGUUACCAUUAUGAAACAGGUUCCUAGUUGACUAUUCUGGACAUCCUUCUCCCUGUUGGAAAGCUG
rnacentral:lncRNA from 1 species